GACGAACGCUGGCGGCGUGCUUAACACAUGCAAGUCGAACGAUGAUCUCCUGCUUUCGGGGGUGAUUCGAGGCGCACGGGUGUGUAAUACGUGAGUAACCUGCCCUUUACUCUGGGAUAUGCCUGGGAAACCGGGUCUAAUACUGGAUACUACUUCCUGCCGCAUGGUGGGGGGUGGGAAGGGUUUUACUGGUUUUGGAUGGGCUCACGGCCUAUCAGCUUGUUGGUGGAGUAAUGGCUCACCAAGGCGACGACGGGUAGCCGGCCUGAGAGGGUGACCGGGCACCAUGGGACUGAGGCAAGGCCCAGAAGCCUACCGGGGGCAACAGGGGGGAAUAUUGCACAAUGGGGGGAAGCCUGAUGCAGCGAAGCCGGGUGAGGGAUGACGGGCUUCGGGUUGUAAACCUCUUUCAGCAUGGAAGGAGCCACAAGUGACGGUACCUGCAGAAGAAGCGCCGGCUAACUACGUG
rnacentral:rRNA from 1 species